rnacentral:rRNA from 1 species
AACGAACGCUGGCGGCAUGCCUAACACAUGCAAGUCGAACGAGACCUUCGGGUCUAGUGGCGCACGGGUGCGUAACGCGUGGGAACCUGCCCUUAGGUUCGGAAUAACUCCCCGAAAGGGGUGCUAAUACCGGAUAAUGUCUUCGGACCAAAGAUUUAUCGCCUUUGGAUGGGCCCGCGUUGGAUUAGCUAGUUGGUAGGGUAAAAGCCUACCAAGGCGACGAUCCAUAGCUGGUCUGAGAGGAUGAUCAGCCACACUGGGACUGAGACACGGCCCAGACCCCUACGGGGGGCAGCAGUGGGGAAUAUUGGAAAAUGGGGGAAAGCCUGAUCCAGCAAUGCCGGGGGAGUGAUGAAGGCCUUAGGGUUGUAAAGCUUUUUUACCCGGGAUGAUAAUGACAGUACCGGGAGAAUAAGCCCCGGCUAACUCCGU